rnacentral:rRNA from 1 species
AGUGAACGCUGGCGGUAGGCCUAACACAUGCAAGUCGAACGGCAGCACAGUAAGAGCUUGCUCUUACGGGUGGCGAGUGGCGGACGGGUGAGGAAUAAAUCGGAAUCUACUUUUUCGUGGGGGAUAACGUAGGGAAGCUUACGCUAAUACCGCAUACCACCUACGGGUGAAAGCAGGGGAUCUUCGGACCUUGCGCGAUUGAAUGAGCCGAUGUCGGAUUAGCUAGUUGGCGGGGUAAAGGCCCACCAAGGCGACGAUCCGUAGCUGGUCUGAGAGGAUGAUCAGCCACACUGGAACUGAGACACGGUCCAGACUCCUACGGGAGGCAGCAGUGGGGAAUAUUGGACAAUGGGCGCAAGCCUGAUCCAGCCAUACCGCGUGGGUGAAGAAGGCCUUCGGGUUGUAAAGCCCUUUUGUUGGGAAAGAAAAGCAGCAGGUUAAUACCCCGCUGUUCUGACGGUACCCAAAGAAUAAGCACCGGCUAACUUCGUG